AGCCUUUUGUAUCCGUGCUGAGAUUUCGUCAACAAUCAGUCAAUUAGGGUUAAUGCAAAUCCCCAAAUACGUGAAGUG
rnacentral:pre_miRNA from 1 species